rnacentral:rRNA from 1 species
AGAGUUUGAUCCUGGCUCAGGAUGAACGCUAGCGGGAGGCCUAAUACAUGCAAGUCGAACGGUAACAUGAGACUUCGGUCUUGAUGACGAGUGGCGCACGGGUGAGUAACGCGUACACAACCUACCUAUAAGAGGGGGAUAGCCUCGGGAAACUGAGAAUAAUACCCCAUAGUAUUACUUUAUAGAUUAUUGAGUAAUUAAAGCUCCGGCGCUUAUAGAUGGGUGUGCGUCUGAUUAGCUAGUUGGUAAGGUAACGGCUUACCAAGGCGACGAUUAGUAGGGGGCGUGAGAGCGUGACCCCCCACACGGGUACUGAGACACGGACCCGACUCCUACGGGAGGCAGCAGUAAGGAAUAUUGGACAAUGGGGGCAACCCUGAUCCAGCCAUCCCGCGUGUAGGAAGACUGCCCUAUGGGUUGUAAACUACUUUUAGAUAGGAAGAACGGCUUCGAUUUAUCGAGGUGUGACGGUACUAUCAGAAUAAGCACCGGCCAACUCCGUGCCAGCAGCCGCGGUAAUACGGAGGGUGCAAGCGUUAUCCGGAAUCACUGGGUUUAAAGGGUGCGUAGGCGGUCCGACAAGUCAGAGGUGAAAUGCACGAGCUUAACUGGUGAAUUGCCUUUGAAACUGUCGAGCUAGAAUUAUGUUGAGGUCAGCGGAAUGAGUCAUGUAGCGGU